GACGAACGCUGGCGGCGUGCCUAACACAUGCAAGUCGAACGAGGAUAAGAAGCUUGCUUCUUAUUCGAGUGGCGGACGGGUGAGUAACGCGUGAGCAAUCUGCCUUUCUGUGGGGAAUAACAGCUGGAAACAGCUGCUAAUACCGCAUAACAUACACCGAUUGCAUCUUCGGUGUAUCAAAGGAGCAAUUCGCAGAAAGAUGAGCUCGCCUCUGAUUAGCUAGUUGGCGGGGUAAUGGCCCACCAAGGCGACGAUCAGUAGCCGGACUGAGAGGUUGAACGGCCACAUUGGGACUGAGAUACGGCCCAGACUCCUACGGGAGGCAGCAGUGGGGAAUAUUGGUCAAUGGGGGAAACCCUGAACCAGCAACGCCGCGUGAAGGAAGAAGGCUUUCGGGUUGUAAACUUCUUUUAUAUGGAAAGAUAAUGACGGUACCAUAUGAAUAAGCUACGGCUAACUACGUGCCAGCCGCCGCGGUAA
rnacentral:rRNA from 1 species